GAUGAAGAACGUAGCGAAAUGCGAUAAGUAAUGUGAAUUGCAGAAUUCAGUGAAUCAUCGAAUCUUUGAACGCACAUUGCGCCCGCCAGUAUUCUGGCGGGCAUGCCUGUCCGAGCGUCAUUUCAACCCUCAAGCCCCCGGGCUUGGUGUUGGAGAUCGGCGAGCCCCCGGGGCGCGCCGUCUCCCAAAUAUAGUGGCGGUCCCGCUGUAGCUUCCUCUGCGUAGUAGCACACCUCGCACUGGGAAACAGCGUGGCCACGCCGUAAAACCCCCCACUUCUGAAAGGUUGACCUCGGAUCAGGUAGGAAUACCCGCUGAACUUAAGCAUAUCAAUAAGCGGAGGA
rnacentral:misc_RNA from 1 species